UGAAAACUCUUGCCAAAUCAGUUUUGCAAGCCAAAUCAUUAUUAAAAGUGCGGGCAGAACAACUGGUCUGGUUUCCACUGGAGUACCACUCUGAGCUCUUCAAGACACCAGUUACUUUAUUGGAUCUGGUUAGUAAGAAACUUAAGAAGCUUCUACAUGGAGAAGAUGCAGAUGCCAUAUCAGUUGGGGAGGAAGUUAGUAUACUUCCAGUGGAAGACCUGAGAGGGUACCUGAAGAGAUACCGGGAAAAUAUUGGAAACAUGCCACCAAGCCCUCUUCGAUAGAAGUCUCCUUAUUUGGAAAGUUGCCAUUUUAAUGUUCAGUGUGAAUCAGGAUCUCUCUCUGACACCCAUGCUGGAGUGCAGUUGUGUGAUCUCAGCUCACUGCAACCUCUGCCUCUCAGGUUCAAGCGACUCUCCC
rnacentral:lncRNA from 1 species